rnacentral:lncRNA from 1 species
GUGGCAGUGAGAGCAUGGGAGGGUCCCUAGUGCAUGUUGUGGGAUGAGGACAGGAUCAUGGGAUCUGGCCAGAAACUGUAUCCUCCACUCCUGUCCCAUCAUAGGGUGGGCAAAUGCAAAUUAUUUAUUACUGAAAAUUUUUGCCUGGGUGGACCAGGCUGUCCCAUGUAAGAGAUUCCUUAAUGUAGGCUGGGGGGCUCACCUAAGUAGGCUAUGUUUCUUUUCUCCUGAAACCCAAACCAACUUAACACUCCCUUAGUAAGGAAAGGUGAGUUCAAUAAAA